AGCGAACGCUGGCGGCAGGCCUAACACAUGCAAGUCGAACGAACCUUUCGGGGUUAGUGGCGGACGGGUGAGUAACACGUGGGAACGUGCCUUUAGGUUCGGAAUAACUCAGGGAAACUUGUGCUAAUACCGAAUGUGCCCUUCGGGGGAAAGAUUAAUCGCCUUUAGAGCGGCCCGCGUCUGAUUAGCUAGUUGGUUGAGGUAAUGGCUCACCAAGGCGACGAUCAGUAGCUGGUCUGAGAGGAUGAUCAGCCACAUUGGGACUGAGACACGGCCCAAACUCCUACGGGAGGCAGCAGUGGGGAAUCUUGCGCAAUGGGCGAAAGCCUGACGCAGCCAUGCCGCGUGAAUGAUGAAGGUCUUAGGAUUGUAAAAUUCUUUCACCGGGGACGAUAAGGACGGUACCCGGAGAAGAAGCCCCGGCUAACUUCGU
rnacentral:rRNA from 1 species